UAUUAUUUUGAAUCUCUUAACUGUGCCUAACUUGUAAAUUAAACUUUAUUAUAGGUAUGUAUAAGAAAAACAGCAUAUAGAGAGUUUGGUACUGUCUGCAGUUUGAGGCAACCACUGGGGGUCUAGGAACAUCUCCCAUUUGGAUAAGAGGUAAGUACUGUAAUAGAAUUCCUUGCCUUUGAAGGUCAGAGGUUGCAACAGUGGACACUGCAGGACCUCAGAGAGUGAGCAAACACUUGUGCUCUGUGCACAUUGCAGACAUGUUUUCAAAGCACCAUUUUCCACUCUCUGGCCACAAAUUAUUUACAUCUCUCCCACUCUCUUACCUCAGUCAGCACUCACAGGGGGAGGGCUUUACAGCUCAACCAGAGAGCACUAAACCCUCUUAACUUUCCAAAUGACUGUAGCAAUUUCACCUUGCUCCUGGGCCCUGCCCAGCCAAGGUUUCUCUACAUUUGGGAUUUAAAACCAAUUGGAAAAUCAAAGUAGUAGCUUUGUAUAAGGGGUCCCCAGCUACUCUGUUGGCUACUUUUACAGCCAAAUCAAUCAUGGUUAAUAAACUGAGAUACUGAGAGGGUGGAGACACUGUCUUCAACUGGAACCUUGUUCUGACUCCAUGACCAGGGAUGCCUAGGAAUAAAAGAAAUUAGUCUCCUCCUCUCCCCCACAGUCUUCCAUUUCUUGCCCAUAUUUCCACUAAAUGUUUCAGAGUGCCCACACAUGCAUACUCCUACGAGAGAAGCUUGGGCUGUGUGCUUUUCCCCACCGUGCUAUGAAAGUCAGACCAUGUGUGCUAAGUACAGGAGCUGAGAAAAUCCUAUAAACAGAGUCCUAAUAUAGGGUUAACAACAUUCCACCUCUAGGUCAGAAAUUUUAUGUAGACCAAUAAGAAAGCACAGAGAAUAUGUACAUUGAUUUACCGUUUACGAUUAUUGGCUACCAUGUAUUGGGUGCCCUUGAAGAGCUGGAUACUAUCCUAAGCAUUUUAUAUAUUUUAUUCAUAUUCUUCAGACCUUUGCAAUGUAGCUGUGCGGAUGUGGGACUUAAAGCAUGGAAAAGUUAAAUAGCUUGCCUAAAUUUUGCACAGCUGGGAUGUGAAUGCAAUCUCUCUUGAGUGCACUUCUCAGCUUGCCAUGUAAAAUUACUGACAUCCAUUUGACCUGGUUGUGCCUGUCACCUUUGCAGCCCUCUGUGUAGUAUUCCCAACUCUCCAUGAAGUUAUCAAUUUGCUAAAAAUAAUUUCUGUGGCUGAUGGAUUUUUAAUGUAGCGUGCUGUCUCAGGCCCCUCCCUAGAAGUUUAUGGCCAAGAAACUGAGCGGUGGGGAGGCUUUUGGAGCUCCUGCUAAUGUUAGCAGACUGUAGGGCUGAGGCUACCACUGGUCUGAUUUCUGCCUCUUCUUAUUUUUAAUGAGGUCAAGGGCAUCCACUGGCAAAGGGGAGGGGGCUGUCUCUCCCGACAGUGUCUGGGUACCUGGAGCUCUCUGUUGACCACUCUUGUUUCUUUUGCGUCUCACACACAGCCUGAGGUCAGAGGCAGAGACAUUACUCAUAACUAAUUCUUGUAGCGUACAUCAUUUAGACUUGGUUACCCCCAAAUUAAUGAAGAGAGAGGAAAAACCUCUUUGUCUUUCAAAUACCACCUGUUCUUCACGUCCAAAAGACCAUUUCCUCACUAGAUUCUGUGAAGUGGGCCUUGCCUCUAAGGGGGUUGUGGACAGGCAGAGAGAGCAAACUCGACUCUGAGACACAAAGUAGCAGAGGGGGUUGUCCUGUAUCUCAGACUGGACACAAAACUGGCUCUAGAGACAGUUUGGACUUGGAAUUACCCCAAGAGAGAAAUGGUUAGGAGACUCUGGUCAUGCAGAACGUAGAGUGGUCUAGUGGGGAAGGCACCAGCUUAGGAGCCUGGAGAGCUGAACUCUAGCUUGGGUUCUGUCAGAAGCUAGCUCCUGGGAAAUGUACUUCACCCCUGAGCACCUGUUUUCUCAUCUGUGGCAUGGGGAUGAUAAUUCUCGUCUCAUCUCCUUUGUGAGCACUGUCAGUGUGAAGUCAUAUAUACAACUUGGUUUGUGAAAUUGUAAUUCAAAGUGCUUUUCUCUGUCUUCUCCAUGGCCUGGCUUCUCGGCCCUGUUCCUGGCUCCUCCAGCCCCAUCUGCUUCCUGCUUGACAUUUUUGUCUAUGCAGUCAUGUCUGUGCACAUCCACAUGAGCCAUGGACUUGUAAUCCUCCUCUUGCCAGCUUGGACACCUGGCCUGCCUGGAAGCUCCAGCCAUGCUCCUGCAAGCUUUACUUUAGGGAACUCACAUUACUGUCACCUUCUCCUUGAAGAAUCAAACUAGCAAGUAGAUCAUCACACUUUGAAUCCAUCACCGAAGAGAGUCGUGAUCAUAAGGUCCCAGAAUGGGCUGUAUGUAGGCUGUAAAGCAAGGAGAGCCAGUCUGAGUUCCAAAACUGAAGAACCUGGAGUCCAAUGUUUGAGGGCAGGAAGCAUCCAGCAUGGGAGAAAGAUGUAGGCUGGGAGGCUAGACCAGUCUCUCUCUUCACAUUUUUCUGCCUGCUUAUAUUCUAGCUGUGCUGGCAGCUGAUUAGAUUGUGCAUA
rnacentral:lncRNA from 10 species